GUCAGUUGUCAGUGAAUAUCCACUGAAGCAACUCCCUAAGCCACCCCAUGUACCUUAGGUGACCCAGGCAGGUCCAUGCUGGCACCAGCAUGCCCAUCGGGACAGGGGAGCUGCAGUUAGGGUGACUGGCGUCACCUGAGCCAUCCCACAUCACCCAGCUCCUCACCAAUUCCGCUCCUCCAUUGACCAUCCCAAAGGGUAUGUAAAGCCUUUACAGACUUGCUCUCUUUUUCUUGAGCUGUUUUGCUCUAGGGGCUCCUGCUUGUGCCUCCUGAUUAGUGACCAGCUGUGACUCCACCACUUCCUUGCCAAGAAAUCUGCACUUGAAGCCCUCUGAGAAGAUAUGUCCUCAGCUCUCCCAGCACUGAGCCAUGCAAUUGAAAGGAUACAACACCAACCCCAAAUCAGGAUUCUACAGACUAAGGAUCUGUGCCCCUGACCUUUUUGGAGGCCCAACCUGCUUGUCAGUGCUCUGGCUCAAGAAGCUGCAGCCUGCCAUACCCACCUGCUGGCCUCUUGGCAAGGAGGAAAGUGUGACGUGUGCCUUGCUGAGCAAAGCAAAAUGACAUUGCUGCCUAUCCCAGCCAGUUGUCAGCAUGUCCAGUGCUAAUUGUGUCAUUGCUGCACUACUGCCGUUUCUGCAAAGAUAAGGAAGAAACACUUUUCUUGCAGUAGAGGCAAUGUAAGCAGUGUCUGAGGUUGAUAAGCGACAUGGCAUGGCCUAGGUGCUUAAUACAAGACAGAGGCUGACCAUGUGGGCCAGAAGCAAGCGCAGCCUGGCAUGCUCUCCUGUUGUGGGACAAAAGACUGACUUGGGUCUGUUCUCCUUUGCCUUUCUGAAAGAGGCCAUGGCAAGUUCCUUUGCUGUGCUGCUAGGUUAAUAAGAAGACAACCAGUUUUUUUCAAGCAAUUAGCCAAGAAUUUACAAAAGCUCUGUUGAGAAUCACCAUGCUGUGCAGGAAAAGUAAAUUGGCAUCUGGAAUGUGGGUGUUUACACCAUUCACUGUUUCAGCAUAACAGAAACUGCAGCAACAUAUCUCAAUUUUCCCUGCCCUAGAUUCAGGAAAUGAUGCAAGUUAAUUUCUGUUGUAAGUGCUCAGGAAUAUGUCAACCUGAUGAAGGAUAUUUUCUGGAUCUGAAAUACUGACACAUCUGGCUCGAUAUACAGGUGAGAGUUCCUAAAAUAAAGCUACUUUAAAUAUAUAUUUUGCUUAAAAUGGCUGAGACUUGCUUAGAAUAAUUCCAGUUCUCCUCAAGCUUAAAUGAGACACCCACAUACCAGACCAUUCCAUCUCCUAUUUUAAUGAGAUCCAAAUCUGUCCGGGAUUGUCAACAGGCAUUACAGUGUAGAUUUUUUGAGGACUUGCAAAUCCAAGAGAGGUUAAAUUUCUAUAGACUAAAGCAACAUUAAUCAUACAACGUUGGCCAUAAACAUUGAACGGUACUCAACACCAGAAAGUGCAG
ensembl:lncRNA